GACAAGACAGGCAGUCCAGUCCGUGGGCUGAGAAAGGACAUCUGGGAUAAAUGCCACGGCCUGUCCUCCCUCCCAGGUCCAGAGUGGCAGCUCAUCUCUCUCUUUCUUUCCCUGUCCCUGUGAGGACCUCUGGAGACUCAGAGAAAAACUGUAGUCACGAGAGAAACUGGUUCUGACGUGUCAGAAUGGCCCAGCUUAGCUGGAGGCUGACGGGUGUGGUUUGGGGGCAGAGACACCAGGCUGGGGAGUUUUCUCUGUGGGAGGACACACACCUCCUACCUAGGAGGACCUAGGUCUGAUCCCUGGCAUCACACAGAAUGGCAGAGCGGUGCUCUCCUCUCCCACACAAUAAAAUAAACCAAAAAAAGGAUAAAAAGAAAAAGGAAAAAUACUGAGUAAAGCAGAUUCUGGGCACCGUGCAGGUGGGCAAGCCCAGACGCCACUCAGCCAGAUUCCUGACCGUAGGCGCUCACUCACCCUCUUUGCGCCAUUUCCACAUCUCCUGAAUGCGGGCAACAAUGGUUCCUCCCCAAGAAUCGGGUUAUUAAGAGCCAUGCAGCCUCUGUGCAGGCAGCAUGGCAGCGGCACUGUGCGUGAGCACUGGAGGGGAGGACGCCCAGACCCCACACCUCCCGAGAGCCGCAGCCCAGGGUCGGCCUCCACAGCUGCCUGAACGAGCCCUUCACCUGUCAGCUGGAUGACACUUGGGGCACUUGGCUGGUACCUGCAGCUCUGAAGGCCCACGGAGGUCCUGGCUGGCGGGUGGGCAGGCGGCUCGCAGAGCUUCCCGUGCCCGGGGAGAGUGCCAGAAGCCCGC